rnacentral:rRNA from 1 species
CUAUCGUUAACUGAAUACAUAGGUUAACGAGGCGAACCGGGGGAACUGAAACAUCUAAGUACCCCGAGGAAAAGAAAUCAACCGAGAUUCCCCCAGUAGCGGCGAGCGAACGGGGAGCAGCCCAGAGUCUGAAUCAGCUUGUGUGUUAGUGGAACGGUCUGGAAAGUCCGACGGUACAGGGUGAUAGUCCCGUACACCAAAAUGCACAGGCUGUGAACUCGAAGAGUAGGGCGGGACACGUGGUAUCCUGUCUGAAUAUGGGGGGACCAUCCUCCAAGGCUAAAUACUCCUGACUGACCGAUAGUGAACCAGUACCGUGAGGGAAAGGCGAAAAGAACCCCGGCGAGGGGAGUGAAAAAGAACCUGAAACCGUGUACGUACAAGCAGUGGGAGCACCUUCGGGUGUGACUGCGUACCUUUUGUAUAAUGGGUCAGCGACUUAUAUUCUGUAGCAAGGUUAACCGUAUAGGGGAGCCGCAGGGAAACCGAGUCUUAACUGGGCGUUAAGUUGCAGGGUAUAGACCCGAAACCCGGUGAUCUAGCCAUGGGCAGGUUGAAGGUUGGGUAACACUAACUGGAGGACCGAACCGACUAAUGUUGAAAAAUUAGCGGAUGACUUGUGGCUGGGGGUGAAAGGCCAAUCAAACCGGGAGAUAGCUGGUUCUCCCCGAAAGCUAUUUAGGUAGCGCCUCGUGAACUCAUCUUCGGGGGUAGAGCACUGUUUCGGCUAGGGGGUCAUCCCGACUUACCAACCCGAUGCAAACUACGAAUACCGAAGAAUGUUAUCACGGGAGACACACGGCGGGUGCUAACGUCCGUCGUGAAGAGGGAAACAACCCAGACCGCCAGCUAAGGUCCCAAAGUCAUGGUUAAGUGGGAAACGAUGUGGGAAGGCACAGACAGCCAGGAUGUUGGCUUAGAAGCAGCCAUCAUUUAAAGAAAGCGUAAUAGCUCACUGGUCGAGUCGGCCUGCGCGGAAGAUGUAACGGGGCUAAACCAUGCACCGAAGCUGCGGCAGCGACACUAUGUGUUGUUGGGUAGGGGAGCGUUCUGUAAGCCUGCGAAGGUGUGCUGUGAGGCAUGCUGGAGGUAUCAGAAGUGCGAAUGCUGACAUAAGUAACGAUAAAGCGGGUGAAAAGCCCGCUCGCCGGAAGACCAAGGGUUCCUGUCCAACGUUAAUCGGGGCAGGGUGAGUCGACCCCUAAGGCGAGGCCGAAAGGCGUAGUCGAUGGGAAACAGGUUAAUAUUCCUGUACUUGGUGUUACUGCGAAGGGGGGACGGAGAAGGCUAUGUUAGCCGGGCGACGGUUGUCCCGGUUUAAGCAUGUAGGCUGAUUGUCCAGGCAAAUCCGGAUAAUCAAGGCUGAGGUGUGAUGACGAGGCACUACGGUGCUGAAGUAACAAAUGCCCUGCUUCCAGGAAAAGCCUCUAAGCAUCAGGUAACAUUAAAUCGUACCCCAAACCGACACAGGUGGUCAGGUAGAGAAUACCAAGGCGCUUGAGAGAACUCGGGUGAAGGAACUAGGCAAAAUGGUGCCGUAACUUCGGGAGAAGGCACGCUGGUGUGUAGGUGAAGUCCCUGCGGAUGGAGCUGAGACCAGUCGAAGAUACCAGCUGGCUGCAACUGUUUAUUAAAAACACAGCACUGUGCAAACACGAAAGUGGACGUAUACGGUGUGACGCCUGCCCGGUGCCGGAAGGUUAAUUGAUGGGGUUAUCCGUAAGGAGAAGCUCUUGAUCGAAGCCCCGGUAAACGGCGGCCGUAACUAUAACGGUCCUAAGGUAGCGAAAUUCCUUGUCGGGUAAGUUCCGACCUGCACGAAUGGCGUAAUGAUGGCCAGGCUGUCUCCACCCGAGACUCAGUGAAAUUGAACUCGCUGUGAAGAUGCAGUGUACCCGCGGCAAGACGGAAAGACCCCGUGAACCUUUACUAUAGCUUGACACUGAACAUUGAGCCUUGAUGUGUAGGAUAGGUGGGAGGCUUUGAAGCGUGGACGCCAGUCUGCGUGGAGCCAACCUUGAAAUACCACCCUUUAAUGUUUGAUGUUCUAACGUUGGCCCCUGACCGGGGUUGCGGACAGUGUCUGGUGGGUAGUUUGACUGGGGCGGUCUCCUCCCAAAGCGUAACGGAGGAGCACGAAGGUUAGCUAAUCCUGGUCGGACAUCAGGAGGUUAGUGCAAUGGCAUAAGCUAGCUUGACUGCGAGCGUGACGGCGCGAGCAGGUGCGAAAGCAGGUCAUAGUGAUCCGGUGGUUCUGAAUGGAAGGGCCAUCGCUCAACGGAUAAAAGGUACUCCGGGGAUAACAGGCUGAUACCGCCCAAGAGUUCAUAUCGACGGCGGUGUUUGGCACCUCGAUGUCGGCUCAUCACAUCCUGGGGCUGAAGUAGGUCCCAAGGGUAUGGCUGUUCGCCAUUUAAAGUGGUACGCGAGCUGGGUUUAGAACGUCGUGAGACAGUUCGGUCCCUAUCUGCCGUGGGCGCUGGAGAAUUGAGGGGGGCUGCUCCUAGUACGAGAGGACCGGAGUGGACGCAUCACUGGUGUUCGGGUUGUCAUGCCAAUGGCACUGCCCGGUAGCUAAAUGCGGAAGAGAUAAGUGCUGAAAGCAUCUAAGCACGAAACUUGCCCCGAGAUGAGUUCUCCCUGAGACUUUAAGUCUCCUGAAGGAACGUUGAAGACGACGACGUUGAUAGGCCGGGUGUGUAAGCGCAGCGAUGCGUUGAGCUAACCGGUACUAAUGAACCGUGAGGCUUAACCUU